AUAAAAAUGAGAAAAUUCAAAAACUUAUCAUACAAACAAGGUGUUAUACACACGAGGGGUUCAAAUGAUCAUACUCCACAUGAGCUCAUAAUCACAAGGAUGCAACACAACAAGAGAAUGUCUCAUCACAAAAUACAACAAGGAAUACAAAUGAUCACAACAAGACUCAUCUCACUCAUCAAGCAUCUCAACAAGCCUCAUCUCACUCCUCAAGCAUCUCAACAAGCCUCAUCUCACUCCUCAAGCAUCUCAACAAGCCUCAUCUCAAGCAUCUGAACAAGCCUCAUCUCACUCCUCAAGCAUCUCAACAAGCCUCAUCUCACUCCUCAAGCAUCUGAACAAGCCUCAUCUCAAGCAUCUGAACAAGCCUCAUCUCACUCCUCAAGCAUCUGAACAAGCCUCAUCUCAAGCAUCUGAACAAGCCUCAUCUCACUCCUCAAGCAUCUGAACAAGCGUCAUCUCACUCCUCAAGCAUCUCAACAAGCCUCAUCUCACUCCUCAAGCAUCUGAACAAGCCUCAUCUCAAGCAUCUGAACAAGCCUCAUCUCACUCCUCAAGCAUCUGAACAAGCGCAUCUCACUCCUCAAGCAUCUCAACAAGCCUCAUCUCAAGCAUCUGAACAAGCCUCAUCUCACUCCUCAAGCAUCUCAACAAGCCUCAUCUCACUCCUCAAGCAUCUGAACAAGCGUCAUGUUAAGCACUAGUGAACUCUCUCCAUUAGCCCUAAAUUGUGUAGGGCAUUUGCAUACACCUCUCGAGGGCAUGAAAGCCGUAGAGGUAGAAUUCCAAGAUUCUCC
rnacentral:lncRNA from 1 species